CACACCUAUUUACAUGGACACCUUGGCCAAUAGGAAUCACUUCCAGCCGAAGACUGGGAGACCGGGAAGAGCCUCUGCCGCCCGCGGGGAGCGGGCAGCGCCUACCGGUGUGCGCAAUGGGAAGGGCAACCAGAAGGGCUGGGGACCUUGGUAAAGGCAUGAGGAGAAGUGUUAAGGACAUGUUUGUUUAACAAAACAGCUGAUCAAGGACACUGCUUACCCUGGAAGUCCGGAGUUCCCAGCUUCCUUCUCCAGAUGGACUGCAUCCAUAUGCAAGUAUGCACCACGUACCCCACACGCAACAGAAUAACAGCCACAUUUCAGCCUCUCCGAAGUCAAAGAGGGCCUUGAGAGACGGCUGAGCACUUAAGAGUGCUUCCUGCUUCUACACCCACAUGGCAGUUCACAACUGCCAUGACUCCAGUUCCAAGGGAGCUGUUAACUCUCUCUGACCACUGUGGGCUCCUGCACAUAUACACACGUUCAGGCAUUCUCCCUCUCCCUCCCUCUCCUCCUCCUUCUCUCCCCCCCACCCCCACGUUCUUUCUUUCCCUCUACCUCCCUCUCUUCCUCUCUCUCUAUCUCUCUCAUCUAAAACCCAAACAUUUCCCAAAUAUUUGCACAGCACACACAACUACCUGGCAUACUUACAUAGUCUCUCAUAGUCUCUCUUUUUCUCCCAGAUGUGCUCUCUCUCUCUCUCUCUCUCUCUCUCUCUCUCUCUCUCACACACACACACACACACACACACACACACACACACACACUUACAUACUCACACUAAAUAUUUAGAAGAAAACAAGGAAUUAAUGAGCUGGGCACAGUAGCACACACCUAUAAUCCCAGUACUUAGGAGACUGGAGCAGGAGGGUUGAGAGAUUGAAGCAAUGCCAGUCUACACAGCAAGGCCCUGCUUUUAUUUAAGCUAAUAAUAUAGCCACAUUGUUCCAUAGCAGUAUACAUGCAUAUUACCUGCCUGUUUCUUCUCUCUUCCUUCCCUCCUCCCCCACUUCCUUCUUCCUGUGGUGCAGUGCACUGAACCCAAGGACGUUUUACACAUGGCUAAGGAAGUAUCCUACCACAGCAUACAGCAUGUCCAGGUCUUCAGUUUUUCUUAAUACCUGAACAGAGCAUUGUGAAGUGCAAGUCUGCCCCCUAUCAUUUCACCAGUCUCCUGUUGCUUUGAGCCCCGUGCAGUUCUAGCCAGUGUUACACAGAGCAUCCUUCCUUAGUCUUCUUGGUGCACACACACUAGUGUAGCUGCAGGAUGUGACAGGUGGAGGCUAAAUUCCUAGACAUUGACUUCCUGGGUCGACUUGUUAUAGAAAUUGCAAAACUGUUUUUUGAAAAAGGUUUGAACUAAUUUACCCGCCUUUCAAUAAUAUGAAAAUGCUGCUUACCCCACGCUCUCGGUGUUCUAUGUGGAGGUUUUAAAAAUGAAUGUGUGUUAAUUAUACAAAGUAAGGGGCUUUGUUACAAGAGUUACAUACACACAGUCAGUGCUCUUUGGUCAUUAGUGUAGUUUCAUCCCCCUCUUUUCUAUGCUUCCUCCUGUGUUGACUUUUAAUUUGGAGUCAUAAAGAUGUUUUAAAGCUUCAUGUAAUAUCCUAAACAAAGGAACUCACUUCUCUUCAAGUUACUGACCUCUUGUGGAGGCUGCUUCAGAACCACAGAUCUGCACAACAAUAGGGAUAGAAUGCUGGAAGGCAUUGUCUUGAUUAUUAUGAAAAGAUUCAGCCCCACUGUGGGUGGCAUCAUUCCCUAGGCAGGAUGUCCUAAACUGUAUACAAGUGGAAAACCUGAGCUGAAUACAAGCAUGUGUAUGUCCAUUUCUCUCUGCUCUUGACUAUGGAUGUGCUGUGACCAGCUCUUUGAAGUCCCUGCCUUGAAUUUCUGACCAUGAUGAACUGUAACCUCAAAUUGUAAGCUAAAAUAAACCCUUUCUCCCCUAA
rnacentral:lncRNA from 1 species